AUUGAACGCUGGCGGCAGGCCUAACACAUGCAAGUCGAGCGGAUGAAGGGAGCUUGCUCCUGGAUUCAGCGGCGGACGGGUGAGUAAUGCCUAGGAAUCUGCCUGGUAGUGGGGGAUAACGUCCGGAAACGGGCGCUAAUACCGCAUACGUCCUGAGGGAGAAAGUGGGGGAUCUUCGGACCUCACGCUCUCAGAUGAGCCUAGGUCGGAUUAGCUAGUUGGUGGGGUAAGGGCCUACCAAGGCGACGAUCCGUAACUGGUCUGAGAGGAUGAUCAGUCACACUGGAACUGAGACACGGUCCAGACUCCUACGGGAGGCAGCAGUGGGGAAUAUUGGACAAUGGGCGAAAGCCUGAUCCAGCCAUGCCGCGUGUGUGAAGAAGGUCUUCGGAUUGUAAAGCACUUUAAGUGGGGAGGAAGGGCAGUAAGUUAAUACCUUGCUGUUUUGACGUUACCAACAGAAUAAGCACCGGCUAACUUCGUG
rnacentral:rRNA from 1 species